UUGCCUCAGCGGGAUUCGAACCCUGACCUCGCGUUUGUCAGGCAGGAAUGCUACCAUUUCAUCACAAUGCU